GGUAUGGCUGUUCGCCAUUUAAAGUGGUACGCGAGCUGGGUUUAGAACGUCGUGAGACAGUUCGGUCCCUAUCUGCCGUGGGCGCUGGAGAAUUGAGGGGGGCUGCUCCUAGUACGAGAGGACCGGAGUGGACGCAUCACUGGUGUUCGGGUUGUCAUGCCAAUGGCACUGCCCGGUAGCUAAAUGCGGAAGAGAUAAGUGCUGAAAGCAUCUAAGCACGAAACUUGCCCCGAGAUGAGUUCUCCCUGAGACUAUAAGUCUCCUGAAGGAACGUUGAAGACGACGACGUUGAUAGGCCGGGUGUGUAAGCGCAGCGAUGCGUUGAGCUAACCGGUACUAAUGAACCGUGAGGCUUAACCUUAC
rnacentral:rRNA from 1 species